rnacentral:rRNA from 1 species
CCUACGGGAGGCAGCAGUGGGGAAUAUUGGGCAAUGGAGGCAACUCUGACCCAGCAAUGCCGCGUGAGUGAUGAAGGUAAUUUUAUUGUAAAGCUCUUUUCUUUGGAACGAAUAAAUGACGGUACCAAAGGAAUAAGCCCCGGCUAACUACGUGCCAGCAGCCGAGGUAAUACGGAGGGGGCAAGCGUUGUUCGGAAUGACUGGGCGUAAAGGGGGUGUAGGUGGUUUGAUAAGUUAGAUGUGUAAUACCCAGGGCUUAACGCGGGUGCUGCAUCUAAAACUGUUAGACUUGAGUACUGGAGAGGAUAGUGGAAUUCCUAGUGUAGCGGUGGAAUGCGUAGAUAUUAGGAGGAACAUCAGUGGCGAAGGCGACUAUCUGGACAGCAACUGACACUGAGGCACGAAAGCGUGGGGAGCAAACAGGAUUAGAUACCCGAGUAGUC